CAGAACUUCUGAUGCUGCUUUUAGGUGUCCCCUUCAGAUACAUCACAAUCAUCUAGAAGACUGCCUGACAUACAUGAGCACUCAAUACAUAUCUGUUGAACACUGCUGAGUACAGGAACUGUAAGAGUUCAAAAUCUUCUCAGAAGAAAAAAACUAUUAAACUGUGAGAAAUUCAUUAGAAGGAUAUACAUAGUGUGCCAUGAGAACCCACAGGAGAGACACCUGGAAACAUUCAAGGAAAGCUACUUCAUGAAGGUCAUGACUGAAUGAAAUGAGAAGGUAGCAGCAGAGACAAAAUCCAACAAGGAAACAGCGUAGUACACGUUAACAGCUUUAAUUGGAGAACAGUUCCGCUGUUUUUUUUUUU